rnacentral:rRNA from 1 species
GACGAACGCUGGCGGCGUGCCUAAUACAUGCAAGUCGAACGCAGUGGGGACGGGUGAGUAACCCGUGGGUAACCUACCAUCAGAGGGGAUAACACUUGGAAACAGGUGCUAAACCGAUACUGAUGGAUGGACCCGCGGGGCAGUAGCUAGUGGGGGAGGUAACGGCUCACCAAGGCCACGCUGCAUAGCGGACCGUAGAGGUGGAUCGGCCACACGGGGACGGAGACACGUCCCAGAGUCGUACGGGAGGCAGCAGUAGGGAAUCUUCGGCAAUGGAAGAAAGUCUGACCGAGCAACGCCGCGUGAGUGAAGAAGUUUUUCGGAUCGUAAAACUCUGUUGUUAGAGAAGCGGUAUCUAACCAGAAAGCCACGGCUAACUACGUGCCAGCAGCCGCGGUAAUAC